rnacentral:misc_RNA from 1 species
AAUUAUGAAUAUCGUUACGUUUUGUUAUAAAGAAAUUUGACCGGAUAUAACGCCAAACUUACUCCUCACAAAAAUCAUUAACCCCCAAAGCCAACCACAACUUCUCGUUAAAAAUCCCCAUCAUACCCUCCGGUACAAACUCCUUCCUACAAAGCGGACACGUCUUCUGGUCAUGAUCCAUCCAACGGUCCACACAGCUCCGGUGAAACACGUGUCGACAAUUCAUCAACAUCCUGAUCUCGUCGCCGGAAUCAAACUCGUAAAGACAAACAACGCACUUCUCCGGCGGUUCGACUAUCUCGGAAAACUUCACUACCGGUAAUAUCUCCCGGAUUAUCGCCGCUGACACGGAACACAAUCGGGUAUUCUCUUCACCGGGUCGGGUCGGGUAAGGAAAAUCGGGUUCGAGGAAAUCGGGGAGACCGAGAAUUGUG